rnacentral:rRNA from 1 species
UGGGGAAUAUUGCACAAUGGGCGAAAGCCUGAUGCAGCAACGCCGCGUGAGUGAUGAAGGCCUUCGGGUUGUAAAGCUCUGANCUUUUGGGACGAUAAUGACGGUACCAAAGGAGGAAGCCACGGCUAACCUACGUGCCAGCAGCCGCGGUAAUACGUAGGUGGCAAGCGUUGUCCGGAUUUACUGGGCGUAAAGGAUGCGUAGGCGGAUUUUUAAGUGAGAUGUGAAAUACCCGGGCUUAACUUGGGUGCUGCAUUUCAAACUGGGAAGUCUAGAGUGCGGGAGAGGAGAAUGGAAUUCCUAGUGUAGCGGUGAAAUGCGUAGAGAUUAGGAAGAACACCAGUGGCGAAGGCGAUUCUCUGGACCGUAACUGACGCUGAGGCAUGAAAGCGUGGGUAGCAAACAGGAUUAGAUACCCUGGUAGUCCACGCCGUAAACGAUGAGUACUAGGUGUAGGAGGUAUCGACCCCUUCUGUGCCGCAGUUAACACAAUAAGUACUCCGCCUGGGAAGUACGAUCGCAAGA